UACAGAGGUCUCAAGCGUUGUUCGGAUUCAUUGGGCGUAAAGGGUGCGUAGGCGGCGCGGUAAGUCGGGUGUGAAAUCUCGGAGCUUAACUCCGAAACUGCAUUCGAUACUGCCGUGCUUGAGGACUGGAGAGGAGACUGGAAUUUACGGUGUAGCGGUGAAAUGCGUAGAUAUCGUAAGGAAGACCAGUGGCGAAGGCGGCUCUCUGGGACGGUACUGACGCUGAGACGCGAAAGGCGUGGGGAGCGAACAGG
rnacentral:rRNA from 1 species